AUACGGAGGGUCCAAGCGUUAUCCGGAAUCAUGGGGUUUAAAGGGUCCGCAGGCGGUCAAUUAAGUCAGAGGUGAAAGCCCAUCGCUCAACGAUGGAACUGCCUUUGAUACUGGUUGACUUGAGUUAUACGGAAGUAGAUAGAAUAAGUAGUGUAGCGGUGAAAUGCAUAGAUAUUACUUAGAAUACCGAUUGCGAAGGCAGUCUACUACGUAUAUACUGACGCUGAGGGACGAAAGCGUGGGGAGCGAACAGGAUUAGAAACCCUAGUAGUCC
rnacentral:rRNA from 1 species